rnacentral:rRNA from 1 species
UGGUCAACAGAGGGAAGCAAUACCGCGAGGUGGAGCAAAUCCCUAAAAAGCCAUCCCAGUUCGGAUCGCAGGCUGCAACCCGCCUGCGUGAAGUUGGAAUCGCUAGUAAUCGCGGAUCAGCAUGCCGCGGUGAAUACGUUCCCGGGCCUUGUACACACCGCCCGUCACACCAUGAGAGUCGGGAACACCCGAAGUCCGUAGUCUAACCGCAAGGGGGACGCGGCCGAAGGUGGGUUCGAUAAUUGGGGUGAAGUCGUAACAAGGUAUC